rnacentral:rRNA from 1 species
AAUUUUGGACAAUGGGGGAAACCCUGAUCCAGCCAUCCCGCGAGUAUGAUGAAGGCCUGCGUGUUGUAAAGUACUCUUGGCAGAGAGGAAAAGUUACCUCCUAAUACGAGGUACUGCUGACGGUAUCUGCAGAAUAAGCACCGGCUAACUACGUGCCAGCAUCCGCGGUAAUACGUAGGAUGCAAGCGUUAAUCGGAAUUACUGGGCGUAAAGCGUGUGUAGGCGGUACGGAAAGAAAGAUGUGAAAUCCCAGGGCUCAACCUUGGAACUGCAUUUUUAACUGCCGAGCUAGAGUAUGUCAGAGGGGGGUAGAAUUCCACGUGUAGCAGUGAAAUGCGUAGAUAUGUGGAGGAAUACCGAUGGCGAAGGCAGCCCCCUGGGAUAAUACUGGCGCUCAGACACGAAAGCGUGGGGAGCAAACA